GAUGAACGCUGGCGGCGUGCCUAAUACAUGCAAGUCGAGCGAACAGAUGAGGAGCUUGCUCCUCUGACGUUAGCGGCGGACGGGUGAGUAACACGUGGAUAACCUACCUAUAAGACUGGGAUAACUUCGGGAAACCGGAGCUAAUACCGGAUAAUAUAUUGAACCGCAUGGUUCAAUAGUGAAAGACGGUUUUGCUGUCACUUAUAGAUGGAUCCGCGCCGCAUUAGCUAGUUGGUAAGGUAACGGCUUACCAAGGCAACGAUGCGUAGCCGACCUGAGAGGGGGGCACGCGCACUAGGAAAUCGGCCGCGGGCAAGACACCCACGAGGGGCCAAAGUGGGUAGUGUUACGAAAGUCUGGAAAUCGUAACGCACUAAAGUCGGGGAAGUUAAAAAGGGUUGCGGAUUGUAAAACUCUGUACGGUGGCAAAAAAAAAUGCGAAAGUAAAAGACGGGCCUUCGGCCGGACCUAUUAAAAAAACCGCGGACGACUGAGC
rnacentral:rRNA from 1 species